UCCAGAACCAGUCUCAGCAUGAAGAUCCUUUACCUGUUGUUUGCAUUUCUUUUCCUUGCAUUCCUGUCUGAACCAGGGAAUGCUGACCACAAGUGUCGUGAUGCAGGAGGAAUGUGCUCUCUCACUAUGUGUGUUCCUGGCACUGACCUUGGGCAGCAGGACUGUGUGUCUCAAUUGAGGUGCUGUAAACGCAUAAAGGGAAAAUAAUGCAUCUCCAUCUACGACCAUGGAUACCUUUAAGAUAUGGCCAAUGACCCAAGAUUACCACCUGCUGUUGCUUUAUCUUUCUUUAUAUAAAUCAAAUUGCUACCCAUCAAACUCUAAAACAUUUGUGCAUUGAAGUAAAAUUUGUCAAAUAU